UCAAGAAUUCGUCGGUGAACGGGGGUGUUGGUGGGUAAGCCGAACUGAUCGCGAUGUCUCAAUCCAGUAAGAAGCAACAACGAAGCCAGCGGAAACGCAAAAAAAAAAAAUAUUUGAAGGCACAUUCUAUAUUUUGAAGAUAUUCCGCGUAUAAAAUCGCUUCGUGUGGUCGAAUGGGCUCAUUUCCUGUGACUUAUAGACGGCGUGUUCGUCGAUCACCGCAGCGUGGCGUCUUCCAUCGUUGACCGUCGCUUCUGCGCCGUUUGAUGAGCUUUGCAGAGUCCUCGGUGUCCAAUUUGUGACUAUUUGAGCUUCGACGUUUUACGUCCAAAGGAAUAGUCUCCCGUUGCUUGACGAUGAGUACGUCCACCACUUCUUCCAUUACUGCUGCUACUAAUUCUGCGAUGCGUUCUGUUGUUUGGAUAAAGUGGCGGCCAAACUCACCUUAGUGACGUCGUCGUUGACGGUGGCGCCAUGCCGUCGGACAGGAUUUGGACAUCAUGGGCAAUUGAUUCGGAGGACUUCUUCGGCGGCGCCAUUGCCGAGCCUACGUCGUCUGUGUGAAGCCGCUGGCGCGCUCGGCGCACCUCAUCAAGCGCCGCCUGUAUUCUACGUACUCGAGGCAAGCAAACGGCUUUCACCUGAUGCCCGUCCCUUGCCGCAGCUUACCGAGGUUCCGCUACCAGUUGGCUGUUGUCUGUUUGACUGCUAAACUUAGCACACGUUUUUCAGUAUUCUCCUUCGUACGUGGGAGAUACAGGAAAGAAAUUACCAAGGCGCUUUUCACGGCACGACAAUGAGUUACUGAGAAUGGUAAGCACACAAACCUGGUGAAGCUUAGAUGAAAUACUUUGGUAAAAGCCUGAAGGCCUAUUGUUAGAAGAAGGAACCAUCGAUUCAUUAUCGAUGACCUGAUUUAUCGUGACGUUGGUGCUGGUGAGCAAAUGUAGGGUCGCUAGGUAUCGUUACGGUUGGUUAGCUUUGUCGAAACUGUGAAUAUCUACAUCUACUUUUACUCCUCAGCUGGAAAAGUGAUGCUAAAAGCUGUUCCUUAACUAACGUCAGUGACCGGUUCUCAAUUAGAAAAGCCAACCUGACAGAGCAAUACAACAAACUUCGUGAGACCCGUCACAAGAGAACAGACCCUAAAUUACGCGGAACAAUUGAAUUCCCUUCUAGUCAUACAAAAAGGUGCAAGAUGCUCUGCACAUCAUGCAAGCCCAUUUCGAUUUUGCUGCCAUUAUUCUUGAGUUGAGAAUAAGGAAAUUGU